AACGAACGCUGGCGGCGUGCCUAACACAUGCAAGUCGGACGCGAAAGGGGGCAACCCCCGGUAGCGUGGCAGACGGGUGAGUAACACGUGGGCAAUCUGCCCUGGAGUCUGGAAUAACUCGCCGAAAGGCGUGCUAAUGCCGGAUGAGACCACGGGAGCUUUGGCUCCUGCGGGAAAAGGUGGCCUCUGUAUACAAGCUAUCGCUCUAGGAUGAGCCCGCGGCCCAUCAGCUAGUUGGCGGGGUAAUGGCCCACCAAGGCAACGACGGGUAGCGGGGCUGAGAGGACGAUCAGCCACACUGGAACGGAGACACGGUCCAGACUCCUACGGGAGGCAGCAGUGGGGAAUCUUGCGCAAUGGGCGAAAGCCUGACGCAGCAACGCCGCGUGUGUGAUGAAGGUCUUCGGAUCGUAAAGCACUGUCGCGAGGGACGAAUAAGGGUCGGGUGAACAAUCCGGUCCGAUGACGGUACCUCGAGAGGAAGCACCGGCUAACUCUGUGCCAACAGCCGCCGCCGUAA
rnacentral:rRNA from 1 species